rnacentral:rRNA from 1 species
CAAUAGCGUAUAUUUAAGUUGUUGCAGUUAAAAAGCUCGUAGUUGGAUUUCGGGUAGGAUUUGCCGGUCCGUCUUUGAGAUGUGUACUGGUAAGUCCUAUCUUCUUGUCGGGGACCAGCUCCUGGGCUUCACUGUCCGGGACUGGGAGCCGACGAAGUUACUUUGAGUAAAUUAGAGUGUUCAAAGCAAGCCUACGCUCUGAAUAUAUUAGCAUGGAAUAACACGAUAGGACUCUGGCUUAUCUUGUUGGUCUGUGAGACCAGAGUAAUGAUUAAGAGGGACAGUCGGGGACAUUCGUAUUUCAUUGUCAGAGGUGAAAUUCUUGGAUUUAUGAAAGACGAACUGCUGCGAAAGCAUUUGUCAAGGAUGUUUUCAUUAA